rnacentral:lncRNA from 1 species
CUAAGACUAACAAGUUGGAGAGCUAAGCCUGGCUAUUUGGAGCUAAUUCUAGCAAGAGACUCCUGAUUGCUUUGCUUCUCAAGAAAAUUAAAUAGAUUAGAGAAUUUCCCAGUACGUGAAAGAACUGCUGCAUCACCUUCUCCAUAUCAGGAUGCUACAGUAUAUCUGCUCUGCUUUCUCUGUGCACCAGAUCCUGCACUGAGGUAUGGAAGGAGGGCAGCUCUGCUUUUCUCCAUCAGUGCUGCUGUCAGGAAAGGACAUCUCCUUUACCUCUGCAGUUAACAGAUAGAGCAUCCUGAAUACCAAAUAAUCCAUGAAGUGUGUUUAAGCACAGUAUUACUGAAGCAAGAUUGCUGCAUCAUUUGCGAACUUUCCCAUGGGGAAACAAAAAGGCAAAGCUGCAAUAAAUCUCCAGUGCCACAUCAUCUGCUGGAGAAGAAUUUGAAUGGCAGCAUGUACGCCCAUCAGCUUCAGGAGGGAAAAUGCGCUGUGCACAGAAUGGAUUUCCUAGAUGCUCACUGGGUUUACAGGUUCGCUUUAAAGAAGGAGAGACAUUCAAGUCACCUACUACCAUAGAAGAAACGAUCACUGUACAAAUGGAUUUCUUUU